CAGAUUAUAGCAAUGAUGUUGUGUAGUUUAAGAUUAUAGCAAUGAUGUUGUGUACUUUAGGAUUUUAACUGAUUAAAAGUCUUGAUUGUACUCUGUUUUUUCAUCAUCACAACAGCAUACAAGUUGUUAUCAUCGUGUUUUCUUUUCUGGGGUUUUUUUAAAUUUUAUUAAAAGAAGGGGUAGGGGAUGUACACAUAUGUAUAAAAAGGUUUGUUUAUUCAGCAUCUGGCUUUUGUUGUUUUUUGGGGGGUUUUUGGUGAAUGAUAUUGAUAUUCUAUAGGUGUACACAUCUGUAUAACUGAUUUGUUCACAUGUUUAUUUCAGUGAUAGUUUAUAUUUUUUUAUUUUAACAAUGUUCAACAAUAUUCUUAUGGUUAGCUUUUAUGUGUUUGUGUAUACAGGUCUUUGAAUGUAUUUUGUUUUUUCAGUUGUUAUUUCAAACAUCCAAAUGAGAACCAGUAAGUCUGUAACAAGUCAGAUAUGAUUACAGGAACCCAUUAAUUAAUUUAAUUUUGUAGGAAGGAAAAGUGAAAGGAUAUCACGUAAAGCGGCCUCUAGGUUUAAAAAUUCAAUGGAUGACCCUAUUCAGUUGUUUUCUGACAGUGAAGGAAUGAACAAAAUAGGUUUUGAGAUGGCACAUGAAAAAACAGAUGGUAAGGUCUCAUUUAGUGAUGGAGCGACACUGUAUGUUGAUCUCGACAUUAACCAGAAAAGAGUUGAAGACGCAAUAAUCAGUAAAGGUGUUGGUGGGGAUAAUAAGCAUGGUGGAAAGAAUGAAAGACAGCUAACGGGAAACUUAUGAGUAGAAAAGGGAAACCAUUGAAUUAGCAAGACAAAGUCAGUCAAUGCGGCGCGUGUUCCGUUUUCUGAUAACUUGGAAGGUUAUGUCGGCAAUACGGAAAGUGAAUAUGAAAGGUUGAAGAAAACUACUUCUAAACGGGAUGUUGUUUGUGAAAAAAAGCCAAAAACUUGUGUCUAAGAGAAGUGUGGAGAAGAGCCAAAGCUAGAGUGCUGUUCUGCCCAAAAGCAGACGAGAAAAAGAUGAUAAAGGAGUGGCAGAAAGUAGUGGGGAGAAGGGCCCGAAUACGAGUACUGGUCAACCUAUUUAGAGUCCAGAAAAAGAUUAGAAAAGAGAUUUCGAGGAAGAUUGUAACACGAACGCAAUCGAUGAAGUAUUCAAGUCCAAGAAACAAAAGCCAAGAAAGUCCCCUACAAAGUCCUUAAAAAAGAAAAGGCGAAAUCUAAUAAGCGUAAAAAAGCCAAAAACUUGUGUCUAAGAGAAGUGGGGAGAAGAGCCAAAGCUCGACUGCUGUUCAACCAAAUAGUAGGCGAGAAAAAGAUGAUAAGGGAGGUAUUAUUUGACUAAAAUUGUUAUUGUUUUUAUUAGUGUACUCUGAUGGUGUGUUAUAAAACGUAUAAAUGAGAUCACAAGUUACGUUGCAUAAAAUUAUUAUUAUUUGUUAUGUUAAUCUAUUGUAGUGGUAGAAAGUAGUGGGGAGAAGGGCCCGAAUACGAGUACCGGUCAACUUAUUAAUAGUCCAGAAAAAGCUGAGAAAGGAGAUUUCGAGGAAGAUUGUAACAUGAACGCAAUAGAUGAAGUAUUCAAGUUCAAGAAAUGAAAACCCAAAAAGUCCCCAAAAAAAGAAAAGGCGAAAUCUAAUAAACGUGCUAGGGCUGGUGUCAAUGAUGAGUUACCAGGCAUUAGGACUCGUACGUCGCCUAAUAAACUGUUAGAAGUUGUUUCUAUGAUGAAGACUUGGCAACGGAAUGUAGUGAGGAGAAUGGGUUUUGGUAAAGUAUUAAAUUUGAAGCACAUCGUGUCCAGGUUUUGACGAUGAGCGUACGGAAUCUCCCGUAAGAUUUUGGACCCAUGAUAUGAUAAGCUUGAGGAAAGACCAAGAGAUAAAAAAUGGUGGUUUCGGGCUGGAGAUAUACGAGAGUUGUACGCGGAUGAUUUCGAUUACGAUAUUUUAAGUGAUGAUCAGGUUGUCGAUUUGUCGAAGAGAGAUGAUGAAACCGUACCUGUUUAUUUUGAUGGGUUUUCAAUAGAGGAUUGCGUAUCUAGCGUUCUUGAGUUGUGCGACGAGGCUGAGUCUUUAAAAUGUAACUUGGAUGGGGCGAUAGACCAACUUGCAACACGUUAUCCUAAUACCAAAGUGAUAUUGCCUAUAUUUGAACGCUACAAAGUUAUUUUCAACAAAUGUGAUGUUUUUGAGAAGUGCGCGUCUAAAGGUUUAAAAAGUGGGGUUGGUCAGAAUAAAUGUAAAUUCUUAUAUCGUAUACAAAAAUGUAUUUUAACAUAAACUCGAUUUAAUUUGUUCGAUAAUUAAAAAAACUGUGUAGAUGAGAAUGUGAAUGCAGUAAGAAGAGUGGUGACGAUGUUAACAACGAGGGAGAUUUAUUUUCAACACCACAUGUGACAUCAACUUUUACGUAAAAUGCUAUGACAUACUCGGACGUUAUUCUGGAUGUAGUAUCAGGUGCUUAUGAUACACAAAAGACGGAUGAUACACCUUCAAUCUAGGACUUUCACAGGAUCUUCUGAGUACGUAGGAGUUAGAGUAGCGGAAAAAAACACCCAAAAUAAAAUGUGGAAGAUGUUGCUGAAGUUGGAGGUAAAGGAAAAAGGCAAAAAAAGAUAUCAAAAUAUGGAAAAUCUCCGUUUUUUAUAAGGGUCGUAAACAUUUACACUGUGUUCCAGAGUUUUAUUUUCAAGAGAAGAGAAGGGAUUUGGAAGGAAAGAAAAGAGUUAUGGUGUUCCAGAGGGUUUUUUUUUUGUUUUUUUUUAUGGGGAGAAAGAAAGAGAGGAGAGAAAAAGAAGGUUUUUUGGAGUUCAAUUGUUUCUCUCCAAAUCGGAAAGAUUGGGAGAGAAAAGAAUAAUGUAAGUUCACAUUCUAUUUUCAGUUCCAAUUUUACCCUCGUCAAAAAAUGGCGGGUAUAUCUCCCACAACCCGCCAUAUCUUCAACCCACCUUCCAUCAUCUCUCCCAGAAUCUCGUAUCUUCAGUUUUCAUCACCAUAUUUCCCAUAUCUUGAUUCAACUUGAUAAAGGCUGUUCAUCAUCGUUGCUACUACUAUCCAACAACGAUUAGCAAUUCAUCUUCCAGAUCUUUGCAGUUCUUGAUACUUCCCUUUUUCUUUAUAUGCAUAAUUUCAUGGGCUGUCUUCUUUCUCCAAUUCUGGAAGCGGAAAAACUCUACCCUUUUGGCCAGGUGGCAUCAAUGGCGGACCCAGGAUUUUAUUUCAAUGGGGUCCAUUUUCGGGUCGGUCCUUGUUCGGGUCGAGUUAAAGUGAGGUUUGAACUAGAUUUUUUAAAAAAAUAAGAAAAAUGGGGUUAUCAAGGAUUGAACCCAUGACCUCUUGGUGGAAAAGAGGAAGAUUUACCACCACACCAGCUUUCUUUUUAUUUCUAUGGUGUCCGCCUAAUUGUAUUUAUGGGGUCCAUAUACAAUUUAAUCUACCGAAUCUACUAUUUUUUUUUAAAAGAUUGGGGUCCGGGGACCCCGGUGGCACCAAUGUGGGUCCGCCCCUGGGUGGCAUAUUUGUUAUUCAGUUGGAGCAGAGUCUGCUUACAAAUAUAUGGAUACAGAAUGGAGUUCGUUCCAUUCGUCUAUAGGAUUAAUAAAGUUCGGGGCUUAUAAAACCGAGAAAGAGAAGUUCCAACGAGAGGAAUGGUUCGGUCAUAUGCUACGAUUCAGAAACGAUGCGAUUAUCAUAUCGAGUAUCAUAUGCCUCCAGCUUCCUUUUGAACUGGCGUAUGCACAUUUGAGCAAGAUCAUUGGAUCCGAUAUCAUAAAGUAAGCAUGUGAUUUUUUUUAAUGCUACUGGAAAUCAAUUUGGUUAAGAUUUAAGAUUUUUAUUUCAGGUUUGGGUUAACGGCAAUUUACCUAUUUGCCAUAUAAUAUUUUUGUAUCAUCUGAAUGAAUUUGUAUAAAUUUUAAUUGUAUCAUCUGAAUGAAUUUGUAAUGUAGAGCCAUCGAAUGAACUAGUAAUUA